rfam:Beta vulgaris subsp. vulgaris Bvchr9.sca022.con0032.1, whole genome shotgun sequence.
AACCUAUUAGCUUAAAUGAAAGAGCAUUGUGUCAUGCACAAGAUGUGGGUUCGAUUCCCAUAUAGAUUA